GAAAUGGGUGGUCGAAUAUUUGCCCACAUUGACGCGUAGGACAAAAUGGUUCCAGCCCAUCAAACCCAUCCAAAAGGGUGAUCUAGCGUUGAUUGUAGAUGCGAAACUUCCGAGGAAUUGUUGGCCACGAGGACGAGUGAUCGAAGCGAUCCAAGCCGAAGACGGACAGGUCCGUCGUGUAACCGUGCAAACAGGAACUGGACUGAUGGAAAGGCCAGCGGUCAAGGUUGCUGUAUUAGACGUCGGUGCAACAGGAGGUAAGCCAGCUGAACAACAGUGACGUACCGAGGGGGAGUGUCACAACCCUGCGAGAUGCGACGCACCUUUGCGUUCAACAUCACCCUUGUCUAUGAGUUUAGCUCCGACCCUGGCUCGUUAACUGUCAACCACCCACCGGUCGACGGGUGACAGGCAGCUAAUCGUAAGUAGCAAAAAAAGAGCACAGUUGAGUCAGCAGAAAGUUAAAGUGCAUUAGCAUAGCUUAGUACUCAUAAGGGCAGUGUCACGGUUGAUUAUAUUAUUACUUAUACUUAAACAACAUGCAAAAAGAAGUAAUUAUAUACUCACUACGAAAAUAGUACGGAUCGUUGCGAACUAGUACGGGCAAAUUAUCACUAGAAAGAAACUAAACGUAAGUAGUUAGCAUGCUUUUGUUAUUAACGAAUAUCUAUGAUGUAUCCAUGCCCGAGAAAAACCUAAAAACAAACAAUUAUACACUAUAGCAUGUGAAAACGAUAAAACUAAUUCGACAUAUGUAUUCUCUCCCCAAAGGGAUUUUAUAACUCCUUCUCUACUUCAGAAUAAAUACAAGAGUUACGAAACCGGAAACAAUACUUUCUAUUUGUCCGAUUGCUAGCGC